CCCUUAGACGUUCUGGGCCGCACGCGCGCUACACUGACCAGUGCAACAAGCAUCCGUCCUUGGCCGACAGGCCCGGGCAAUCUUUGAACGCUGGUCGUGAUGGGGAUAGACUUUUGCAAUUUUUGGUCUUCAACGAGGAAUUCCUAGUAAACGCAAGUCAUCAACUUGCAUUGAUUACGUCCCUACCCUUUGUACACACCGCCCGUCGCACCUACCGAUUGAAUGGUCCGGUGAAGCCUCCGGAUUGGCGCGCACCUCGGUGCCGCCGAGAAGUUGGCUAAACCUUACCAUUUAGAGGAAGGUGAAGUCGUAACA
rnacentral:rRNA from 1 species